CCAAAGCAAAUAACCCAUCUACAGAGAUCCCACCAACACCUCAGAAAGCCAACACAGCAGAUGUCCCAUCUACAGAGAGCCCACCAACACCUCAGAAAGCCAACACAGCAGUUGUCCCAGCUACAGAGAUCCCACCAGCACCUCAGAAAACCAACACAGCAGUUGCCCCAGCUACAGAGAUCCCACCAACACCCCAGAAAACCAACACAGCAGAUGUCCCAUCUACAGAGAGCCCACCAACACCUCAGAAAGCCAACACAGCAGAUGUCCCAGCUACAGAGAUCCCACCAGCACUUCAGAAAGCCAACACAGCAGUUGUCCCAGCUACAGAGACCCUACCAACACCUCAGAAAGCCAACACAGCAAUUGUCCCAGCUACAGAGACCCCACCAGCACCUCAGAAAACCAACACAGCAGUUGCCCCAUCUACAGAGAUCCCACCAACACCUCAGAAAGCCAACACAGCAGAUGUCCCAGCUACAGAAAUCCCACCAACACCUCAGAACGCCAACACAGCAGAUGUCCCAUCUACAGAGAUCCCACCAACACCUCAGAAAAGCAACACAGCAGAUGUCCCAGCUACAGAAAUCCCACCAACACCUCAGAAAGCCAACACAGCAGAUGUCCCAGCUACAGAAAUCCCACCAACACCUCAGAACGCCAACACAGCAGAUGUCCCAUCUACAGAGAUCCCACCAACACCUCAGAAAACCAACACAGCAAAAGUUUCAGCCAUAAAACCAGCAACAGCUCAGAUGUCCCUCAUAUCAACUACUGUGUUUGCACAAACCCCACCAAUAACCCAACAUCCCACCACAGUUAAUUCUUCUGCUGUACAAACUGCACAAACAACUCGAGGAUUUGCCACAGCAAAACCUUCAUUGACACAGAAUCCGCCAGCAACACAAAGGCCCACCAUUUCACACUUCUCAAUGACCAAGGGUCUCCAUACUGUUACACAAAUAUUUACUUCUGCUCAUAUUACAGCAACACAGCAUGUACCUGUUUCCAAGACAACGGUACGUCAUCCAACGAGAACAUCUAAAGACAGAGGAGAGUCUAAUUCAGGUGGUGACCAUUUUAUAUAUGGACAUACAUGUUUAAUAACCAUGACAAUUUUGCAUGUGAUGCUCUUACUCACUGGCUAGUUGACGUAGCCAACGAAGAGUUAAGAAGAAAGUAUAUACAACCACUGAGAAUACUUCUAGUUUGUUAGAAUGUCCAGGAAGAAUGGAUACAAUAAAUUUAAUAGUGUUGUUGGUUCUGUAUGCUGUCAUCGUCUUGAAGGUGUGCUAGAAAUGAUAACAAAGCAAGAAGAAAGGAGGUUGUCUGGAAUGGUCUUUUCAAUGCAUAUAAGUCUCUUGAAAAUAUUUCAAAACUAGACAAAUUCACAAUGUUGUGUAGUAUCUUUUCUAAAAAAA
rnacentral:lncRNA from 1 species